rfam:Corynebacterium aurimucosum ATCC 700975, complete genome.
UUGCCCUGUUUACGCUGAUGUGCGACGGAGUCCGUAGACAGGGCAAAGAGCUUGAGACGUCCAUCGCACCACAUAGCCUUCGACAAGCUGUGUGGCCCGAACACGGGAGAGAACGCUGAGCGUUACGAC